rnacentral:rRNA from 1 species
CCUACGGGUGGCAGCAGUGGGGAAUAUUGCACAAUGGGGGAAACCCUGAUGCAGCGACGCCGCGUGAGUGAAGAAGUAUUUCGGUACGUAAAGCUCUAUCAGCAGGGAAGAAAAUGACGGUACCUGACUAAGAAGCCCCGGCUAACUACGUGCCUGCAGCCGCGGUAAUACGUAGGUGACAAGCGUUGUCCGGAUUUACUGGGUGUAAAGGGCGCGUAGGCGGGAUAGCAAGUCAGUCGUGAAAUGCCGAGGCUUAACCUCGGAGCUGCGAUUGAAACUGUUAUUCUUGAGUAUCGGAGAGGAAAGCGGAAUUCCUAGUGUAGCGGUGAAAUGCGUAGAUAUUAGGAGGAACACCAGUGGCGAAGGCGGCUUUCUGGACGACAACUGACGCUGAGGCGCGAAAGUGUGGGGAGCAAACAGGAUUAGAUACCCCGGUAGUC